GGAAAGUCGCACGGUACAGGGUGAUAGUCCCGUACACAAAAAUGCAUAUGUUGUGAGUUCGAUGAGUAGGGCGGGACACGUGACAUCCUGUCUGAAUAUGGGGGGACCAUCCUCCAAGGCUAAAUACUCCUGACUGACCGAUAGUGAACCAGUACCGUGAGGGAAAGGCGAAAAGAACCCCGGCGAGGGGAGUGAAAUAGAACCUGAAACCGUGUACGUACAAGCAGUGGGAGCACCUUCGUGGUGUGACUGCGUACCUUUUGUAUAAUGGGUCAGCGACUUAUAUUUUGUAGCAAGGUUAACCGAAUAGGGGAGCCGUAGGGAAACCGAGUCUUAACUGGGCGAAUAGUUGCAAGGUAUAGACCCGAAACCCGGUGAUCUAGCCAUGGGCAGGUUGAAGGUUGGGUAACACUAACUGGAGGACCGAACCGACUAAUGUUGAAAAAUUAGCGGAUGACUUGUGGCUGGGGGUGAAAGGCCAAUCAAACCGGGAGAUAGCUGGUUCUCCCCGAAAGCUAUUUAGGUAGCGCCUCGUGAACUCAUCUUCGGGGGUAGAGCACUGUUUCGGCUAGGGGGUCAUCCCGACUUACCAAACCGAUGCAAACUCCGAAUACCGAAGAAUGUUAUCACGGGAGACACACGGCGGGUGCUAACGUCCGUCGUGAAGAGGGAAACAACCCAGACCGCCAGCUAAGGUCCCAAAGUCAUGGUUAAGUGGGAAACGAUG
rnacentral:rRNA from 1 species